rnacentral:lncRNA from 1 species
CUCGGCUCUGCCCGAUCCACUGCCCAGCGGGAGCUCCUUGGCCCGCCGCUGAAGGCCCGCUGUGGUCCAUACCCUGGGGGCCGGUGCCGAGGCUGCGCUGCUGGACCUUCCCGGUCAGCUGGCCAGUGCAGAGCCGCCUCGACUCCAGCCCCGAGCUCUGCCUCCGGCCCCUCACGCCCGGCCGACUCCCAAGGUCCCCAGUGCUGGGCUGGUGCGCACCUUCAGAGGGUCUCUGCAGCGUCCAGACGCCAAGGGCCAAGCCCGGGAAGCACGGCUGUUUCUUCGUGACGGAUGUUUGUUCUCCAUUUCUGCACAACAAGUGAUCACAAAACGUGGCAGCUGCAAACAACACACACUACCUCGCAGGCUCUGGGCGAGGCUCGGGAGCAAGAGGCCCCAGGGAUCAGGAACAGAACCGGAACCUAACCUCGGAGGAGCCGUCCCAUGGUGCUGCUGCGUUGGAUUCAUUCCGAGACCCGGAGUGACCACGGCUUCGGCUGCGUCUGUGCGUGCCCUGGGUCUCCUGGGAAGCGGACUUGGCCAGCACUGCGUUCACUACUUGGACACCAGCAGGCUACUGGGACAGGGGAGCCAGGCCCCAGGGCCAGUGUCAACCCUACCCUGUGUGCAUGGCUACCUGAUGUUCCGGGCGUUGCCCUUCUCUGGGGUUUGGCUCCUCUGGGCCGCUGGUGCCUGUUGAGGGGGGGGAAGUAGUGGACACAGAUGUCCACUGGCUGAUGGAGAAGGAACAUGUGGUCCCCCCACUCAAUGGACUGUUACUCAGCCAUGAAAAGGAAGGACGUUCUGAUGGAUGUGACACUCAAAGAAGCCACUCUGGGAGGACCUCAUGGUGUGUGGCCCCAUUUCUAGGGACUGUCCAGAACAGGCAAAUCCAGAGUGGUCACAGGGCUGGAGGAGGAGACCGGGGGUACCGGGAUAAGAGUGAACUUUAACAUACAAGGUUUCUUUUGGGGGGGAAUGAGAAUGUUCUGGAACCAGAUGGGGGGCUCAACAUUGUGUAUGUGCUAAAUGGUGCUAAAUGAUUCACCGGUGUUUUUUUUUGUCUGUUCUAGGGCCGCUCCCACGGCAUAUGGAGGUUCCCAGGCUAGGGGUCGAAUCGGAGCUGCAGCCACCGGCCUGUGCCAGAGCCACAGCAACGCGGGAUCCAAGCCACGUCUGCGACCUACCCCACAGCUCAAGGCAACGCCGGAUCCUUAACCCACUGACCAAGACCAGGGAUCGAACCCGCAACCUCAUGGUUCCUAGUCGGAUUCAUUAACCACGGAGCCACGAUGGGAACUCCCUAAAUGGUUUACUUUAAGAUGCUUAAAAUUGUGAACUUUGUGUUCCUGUUGUUGUUUUUGUUUUUCAGGGCCACACAUGUGGCUUCCAGAGGUUCCCAGGCUAGGGUUCGAAUCGAAGCUACAGCUGCAGGCCUACACCACAGCCACAGCAACGCCAGAUCCAGGCUGCACCUGCGAUGUACACCAUAGCUCAUGGCAAUGCUGGAUCCUUAACCCACUGAGAAAGGCCAGGGAUCGAACCCACAUCCUCAUGGAUCCUAGUCAGGGUGGUUAACCACUGAGCCAGGAAGGGAACUCCUGAACUUUAUGUGUUUUUAACAAUAAAAAAUGCUUGUUCCCUUCCUGCUGGUGGAGC